CCCGACUAUUCUAUAUCUCUCCCGACUCCACUCCCAACGCAGAAGAACUCUGUCUCUCUUUAAAUCUCUAACCUUCCCCCAAAUCCUUAACCUCACGCAUGAAAUCCUAACGCUAUCACACAGAAAGAGACCUAAUGCAGAAGCACUCCAUCUCUCACUCUAAAUCUCUAACCUCUAUGGGCUAUGGCAUUCCUACUAAAACGUUUUCAAAUAUAUUGAUUGGAUUGGCUCAAUAUAUUCUGAGAAUGGUCAGGAGCGAGACGUAACACCGAAAUCCGAUCCAGCAUAAGCCAAGGAGGAGCAGAAUGGGCGAUGAUUGCUGUGAACCUUUGCCACAGUCCGUUGGUGCAAAGAAGGGGCUGGGGCUGGGGCUGGGGCUCAGGCUAUCUCUCUCGAAGCCGAGGAGGAGCCAAAGUGAAAGUGAUGAUUUCUCUGAACCAUUGUCACAGUCUCAAGGUAAGUUUAAUUUAUUAGCAAAUUUGUAAUUAAGCAUAUUCAGAUCAGGGUUGGGUUUUUUUGUUUCUUGUAUCUUUGUUUUGUUUUUUCUUUGCCACAGUCCGUUGGUGCGAAGAAGGGGCUGGGGCUGGGGCUGGGGCUGAGGUUGCCUUUCUCGAAGUGGAGGAGGAGCCAAAGUGAAAGCGAUGAUUUCUCUAAACCAUUGUCACAGUCCCAAGAUAAGUUUAAUUAAUUAGCAAAUUUGUAAUUAAGCAUAUUCAGAUCAGGGUUAGGUUUUUUGUUUUUUUUUUUUUUUUAUCUCUGUUUUGUUUUUUGUUUCUUUUAUCUCUGUUUUGUUUUCUCUGUUUUGCUUUGUUGUGUUGGGUUUUUAUGGAUGAGCUACUCUUCGAUGUUCCUGGCUCUGGAGAAAUGCUUAAUUGCCCAUUGUUGCUUAUUCAGGGCAACUGGUUUUGCGAAGGAAAAGAUGGUGACUGUGUUGAGCAUCGAUGGAGGUGGCAUUAGAGGGAUUAUUCCAGGAAUUCUACUGGGCUUUCUUGAAUCCAAGCUUUAGGAAUUGGAUGGGCCCAAUGCAAGAAUCGCAAAUUAUUUUGACAUAGUUGCAGGGACAAGUACAGGUGGGCUAGUCACUGCCAUGCUUACAGCUCCAGACAAGGAGAACCGGCCCAUGUAUGCUGCAAAGGACAUCACCAACUUCUAUUUAGAGCACUCUCCCAAGAUUUUUCCCCAGAACAAGCACAAAAAUUUUGUGGGUUCAAUGACAAAUUUGUUCGGUGCCGUGAUGGGGCCCAAGUACGAUGGGAAGUACCUACGGUCACUGACAGAUGGGUUACUUGGCAACCUCACCUUGAAACAGACCCUAACAGAUGUGAUCAUUCCUACCUUUGAUAUCAAGCUUCUUCAGCCAGUGAUUUUUUCAACCUAUGAUGCAAAACUGAAUGACUUGAAGAACGCCAGGCUGGCAGAUGUUUGCAUCAGCACCUCUGCUGCACCCACUUUUCUUCCAGCACACUACUUUGAGACAAAGGAUGCUAGCGGAAACACUCUCAGUUUCAAUCUCAUUGAUGGUGGGGUCGCUGCAAAUAAUCCUACAAUGAUGGCCAUAAGCCAAAUUUUUAAAGAGAGAUUUAAAAAUGAGUUUAUGAGCAAAAGAGCAAUGGACUACAGAAAGAGAAUGCUAGUUUUGUCGUUGGGCACAGGUGCGGCAAAGCAUGAAGAGAAGUACAGUACAACAGUAGCCUCAAAAUGGGGUUUGGUUAAUUGGUUGUAUGACAAUGGUGCAACACCAUUGCUCGAUAUAUAUGGUGAUGCAAGUUCUGAUAUGGUUGACUUUCAUGUGUCCACCCUUUUCCAAGCCCUUGGUUGCAAGAAUAACUACCUUCGUAUUCAGGAUGACACAUUAACUGGAGAUGCCUCAACAGUUGAUAUUGCUACAAAGGAGAAUCUGCAGAGGCUUGUGGAGAUUGGGAAGGAGCUGUUGAAGAAGCCAGUGUCAAGAGUGAAUUUGGACACUGGUAGGUAUGAGGAAAUUGGGAGGGAGUGUACUAAUGAAGAAGUUCUUUCCUACUUUGCCAAACUGCUUGUGGAGGAAAGGAAGCUCCGGCAAGACAAUUGAAAGUCCCCAAGGAAUAUAAUUUUGGUGUGAUGAAUUAUUAAAUAACCUAACCCACCC